AUGGGUAGAGGAGGGGCUGUUAUCCAUUGCAGCUAUUGUGGUGCUGCAGGCCACAAUAUUGGAGGAUGCACUGAUUUCAAGCUUGGUUUGAGACCAAAGAAAAAGGGCAAGAUAGUUAGAGCCGAGCCACCAGUUUCCUCUGAUUCAGAAAAUGAGGAUCCUGUCCUAACACAGGAGCAAAAUAUGCACACAAUGGCUUUGAGUCAACCAGAACAUACUCCAUAUGAAGCAGAGGUCAUUUCUACAUUGAUUGUUGAGACGCAGUCACGCCAGAGACAAAAUGUGCAGCCAACUGCUUUACCAGAAAAUGCUUUCAUUCAAGCAAAUGUCCAAAUGCAGCCCCCUAUGCAGGAGACAACUGCCACAAUCCAUGGAAAUGUUCAUAGGAAGAGAGAGGUUUUAGCUUUGGCCAAAUUGAAGGCAGCUGCUGAGAGAAGGGAGGUUGCGGAUCAAGCCAAAUUUAAUGCAGCAAUGGCAAAGCUUAGAGAAGAAGAGAACAAAUUAAUGAUAGCAGCUCAGCGGAGAAAGCAAGAGAUGGAAGAAAAGAGGCAAGGUGCUAAAGAGAGGAAAAAAGCAAUACUGGAGGAGAAAAAGUUAGCAGCCGAGGCAAGAAAAAGAGCUGCUGAAGAAAAAAAAAGGAAAGCUCAAGAGGAGAAAUUUGCACUUGCCGAGGCAAAAAGAAUUCAAGAAGAGAAGAAGAGAGAGGCAGAGCAAGCAUAUGAAAGGGAGGAAAUGAAUUUCCUGUUCAUGCAACAAGAGGAGCAAGAAAGGCAGCAGAGAUGGAAAGAAUAUCAGCAGCAAGAGGAGAAAGAAAAGCAAAAGUCCUGCGAGGAGCAGAUGCAAGCAAAAGAAAAAACAUGCGAGACAGAGGUUAAUAGGGUUCAAACUACUCCAGUAAUGGAAGAGGAGGUUAAUAGGCCUCAAUCAUCUACAACAAGGAAAGCCUUUGAGGAGAAAAAAAAGCUAGAUGAUAUGGCAGCAAUGAGGUUAAGAGCUGAUGAGGAGAGGUAUAGGGCAUGGCUGCAAAAAGAGAAGGAAAUGGACCAAGCAAAUGGUCAACAAGGCACUUCCAACAAAAGAAGUCUUCCAAGCCAGCAAAACACUCAAUUUAAGAUGCCAAGAAAAUUUCUUCUGGACUAUUAUGUAGUUGAAACCAUGUUUAUUUUUCCACAUGAUCAUCUUAUGUUCAUGAUCAUGGUGCCCAGGAUAAAAUGCAGUGCAACACCAAAUGGUACAGCACAUAACCAUAUAAUGCCUGCACUGUGCAUAUACAUGUACUGUUCAUGCUCAUACAUUGCCCAGAGGGCAGCUCGAUGUCAAUCAGCUUGCCGUGAAGCUCCUUCAGCACGCCCAUGCGAAGUCCGGCUCACACGCACCGUCAGGGAGGCCUUCAUUGCAGGCACGGCUCGGCUCCGGCCGAAGACAUGGUGGCUCUCCGCGGCGCCACACCUGCUGCGGGAAACCCACCCGUGCACGCUGACGGUGGACGGUGGAAUCGCAGGCGCGGGCCACUGUUGGGCUAGCUUUGCCUCCGCCUGCACAGGAAGCGGCGCUCAUGCUCUAGCCGGGGCGGGUGACGGCUGGGACAGCUUCGCCUCCGCCCGCAUAAGAAGGAAGGGGCCGGCGCAGGCUGGGACAACACUGUCUCGGCCCGAAGGACUCCUACUCUUGCCGGGGCCGGGAACGGAGCUACCGGAGGUCGCCGCCGCCGCCGCCGCCGCCGGCCGUGGUUCUAGGGAGAAACUGAAUUGGCCCGCGUCGGCCUGUGCUGAUGUGGCAGGACAUGUAGUCGUGUACGUAUGUGGGCCUGCCGCAGGACCGUCGAUGGACCAGUUUCGCAAGAUAUGUUUAGGUAGAAGAACUGGAAUAUAUUACUCAAAGCACCAAAGGCGAAGUUACAAGAGAGGGAAAGGUAUUGGUGUUCUUAAACCCAACAGGUCAUGUGAAACUCCCAUGGAUCUAGCUCCGCCUUUUACUACUGGCCGGAUGGAUGGUCGGACUCACCACCAAGCAAGCUCGAUCUCCGCCGCAUCUUCUGGAUUUCACCGUGAUCCCUCACUGCAGGAAAAUCGUUCUCGGCCCUCAUGGUGGAGUGGACCAUGUCCAUGCGCGUGGCCCUCCUGGUUUCGCGUUGGCAAGGAGGAUUUGUGGCGCGUGGACUCCAUCGUGUACUCAUCUGCUAUGCCAUGCCAUGCCAUGCACCGUGAAUUCGUAUAUGGCGUAGUAGGUGGAGAAGUGGCCUCCAGCUCCCCUGAAGCGCAACGGGUGUCAGUCCUUCUGGGCACCAUCCGGUACGACUCCGGUCAGAGCACAUUUAAGUUUCGUGUACCACGGCAGAUAAAUCAUAAAUGUGCCCAUGCACUAAGUGAUGUUUUUCCCGGCAACUGCGGUGGCCCUCCAAGCCGAUGA
rnacentral:rRNA from 1 species